ACCGCGUGUGCCCUCUUAGCACUCCAUCUGAUCACCGUUGCCGUGGGACAGAGAUAGUGCAUGUAUCUCGUUUAAAGCCUUAUACCCGACGCAUUUCAUAAUACUCUCAGGCGGCCAGGCGGCCGCUUCCAUCGCGCGAGGGAAUUAGUGUGAGCGCAAAAAGUGAAUGACUCUGUAUUGUCUUUGUAAU
rnacentral:lncRNA from 1 species